CGCCUUGUCCUGACGAGGACAUUUACAUAUAGUUCAUUUCAGCACCUGAACCUAAAGCGAAUGCUGGGUUCUUCGACGCCAUUUUGUAGCUAUUGACUUGUUCGCUUAUUUUGUCACAGCAUAUUCGCUUUUGGCAUUUCAUCCCUACAGGCUUACUAGUACUACAACACCAGCCUGGAGAUGGAACGCCCUCGAACUCACACUGGGGAGAAACCCUACAUCUGUGAUGACUGUGGGUACCGGGCAGCUUGCAAGAGUGCCUUAUCCCGACAUAUGAGAACUCACACAGGAGAAAAACCCUUCAAGUGUGACCAGUGUGACUAUUCUGCAGCACAGAAAAUCCAUUUGGACCAACAUCUAACAAAACAUACGGAAAAAAAAA